UUGACCUCAAAUCAGGUAGGACUACCCGCUGAACUUAAGCAUAUCAAUAAGCGGAGGAAAAGAAACUAACAAGGAUUCCCCUAGUAACUGCGAGUGAAGCGGGAAAAGCUCAAAUUUAAAAUCUGGCGGUCUUGCGGCCGUCCGAGUUGUAAUCUGGAGAAGCGUUUAUCCGCGUCGGACCGUGUACAAGUCUUCUGGAAGGGAGCGUCGUAGAGGGUGAGAAUCCCGUCUUUGACACGGACAACCGGUGCUUUUGUGAUGCGCUCUCGAGAGUCGAGUUGUUUGGGAAUGCAGCUCAAAAUGGGUGGUAAAUUCCAUCUAAAGCUAAAUAUUGGCGAGAGA
rnacentral:rRNA from 1 species